rnacentral:rRNA from 1 species
UACGGAGGGUGCGAGCGUUGUCCGGAAUUACUGGGCGUAAAGCGCACGUAGGCGGACAUUUAAGUCAGGGGUGAAAUCCCGGGGCUCAACCCCGGAACUGCCUUUGAUACUGGGUGUCUAGAGUCCGGAAGAGGUGAGUGGAAUUCCGAGUGUAGAGGUGAAAUUCGUAGAUAUUCGGAGGAACACCAGUGGCGAAGGCGGCUCACUGGUCCGGUACUGACGCUGAGGUGCGAAAGCGUGGGGAGCAAACAGG